AUACUUACCUGGUGUAGGAAUACCGUAAUCGUGUAGGUGGUUUCCCCGGGGUGAGGCUGCUCCAUUGCACUGCGGAGUGGUUGACCUUUGUGAUUAUUCUUAUUUUUUAUAAGUUUCACUUCCACCGUCUGUGACUUACACACACUAGCGAUGUGAACCGAUUACAAUUUCUGGCUCCGGUUUAUUACCGGU
rnacentral:snRNA from 9 species